rnacentral:rRNA from 1 species
UAAAGCUUCAAACUGGGAUUAGAUACCCCACUAUUCAUAACUGUAAAUCUAAUUAAACUUACCAGAGUACUAUGAAUGAAUAUGUUAAAUUCAAAUAAAAUAGAAAUUUAAAACUCAAAGGGCUUGGCGGUGUUUUAGACCUAUCAGGGGAACCUGUCUCGUAAUCGACAAUCCACGCUAAACCUAACCUCGCUUUGUACACAGUUUGUAUACCGUCGUCGUCAGGUAACUUUUAAAAAUUUAGAAGUUAGCAACGUAAAUUACUAUAAAUUUAAACGUCAGAUCAAGGUGCAGCUAAUGGUGAGGAGAGGAUGGGUUACAAUUAUUUAAUUCGUAAUCACGAACAACCCAAUGAAAAAAGGUUUAAAGGAGGACUUGAAAGUAAAAUAAAAUAUAUAAGCAAUUUGAAUGUGGCUCUGAAACGUGCACACACCGCCCGUCACCCUCUGCAGUCAAAA